rnacentral:rRNA from 1 species
GAUGAACGCUGGCGGCGUGCCUAAUACAUGCAAGUCGAGCGAACAGACGAGGAUCUUUCUUCUCUUACGUUACCGGCGGACGGGUGAUUACCACGUGGCUAACCUACCUAUAAGACUGGGAUCACUUCGGGAAACCUGAUCUAACACCGGUUAUUAUAUUGAACCGCAUGGUUCUUUAGUGCAAGACCGUUUUGCUGUCACUUAUACAUGGAUCCUCGCCGCAUUAGCUAGUUGGUAAGGUAACGGCUUACCAAGGCAACGAUGCGUAGCCGACCUGAGAGGAUGAUCGGCCACACUGGAACUGAGACACGGUCCAGACUCCUACGGGAGGCAGCAGUAGGGAAUAUUCCGCAAAGGGCGAAAGCCUGACGGAGCAACGCCGCGUGAGUGAUGAAGGUCUUCGGAUCGUAAAACUCUGUUAUUAGGGAAGAACAAAUGUGUAAGUAACUAUGCACGUCUUGACGGUACCUAAUCAGAAAGCCACGGCUAACUACGUG